AUUGAACGCUGGCGGCAGGCCUAACACAUGCAAGUCGAGCGGAUGAGGGGAGCUUGCUCCUGGAUUCAGCGGCGGACGGGUGAGUAAUUCCUAGGAAUCUGCCUGGUAGUGGGGGAUAACGUCCGUAAACGGGCGCUAAUACCGCAUACGUCCUGAGGUAGAAAGUGGGGGAUCUUCGGACCUCACGCUAUCAGAUGAGCCUAGGUCGGAUUAGCUAGUUGGUGGGGUAAAGGCCUACCAAGGCGACGAUCCGUAACUGGUCUGAGAGGAUGAUCAGUCACACUGGAACUGAGACACGGUCCAGACUCCUACGGGAGGCAGCAGUGGGGAAUAUUGGACAAUGGGCGAAAGCCUGAUCCAGCCAUGCCGCGUGUGUGAAGAAGGUCUUCGGAUUGUAAAGCACUUUAAGUUGGGAGGAAGGGCAGUAAGUUAAUACCUGGCUGUUUUGACGUUACCAACAGAAUAAGCACCGGCUAACUUCGUG
rnacentral:rRNA from 1 species